rnacentral:lncRNA from 1 species
GGCUUAUUCACUUGUUUGUGUUGGAUAAGUGAAUUCGGUGCUUGUGGAAGAUGCCAGAUGGGCUGCAUGGGAGCCAGGAAGUCUCUGUCUCUCCACCAAGCAACAGCAGCGUGUGCUUCCCAAAUUGAGCUGCCAGAGUGCCUUAGACCUGAGCCGUAGGUCAAAAGCAUGAACACUGUGAAGACAGGAACCGUGCACUUCCACAGUCCUCUCCUGCUCCUGGGACCAGCGGCCUAUGAGCAAACGGAGCCAUACCCUUUUUCCACAAGUUCCUGCUCUAGAGGGUGCAGAUCUGUAACUUUACUCUCAUGUCGGCAGGGGAUGGAAGUGAGAAGCGAAAACAGAAAAGUGAAGGCAGCCUGGUGCUGUCUGUGGAGCCAGGGCAACCGUGAGUGCUCCUUUGGGCUGCUUCUGGGGAGGGCUUCGGUUUGCACAAGGCAACCCCAUAUGGUCAAGCAAUAAAAUCUGCUUCAGCUUGUUCUUUUUGUCUGCACCGUUAAUGCUUCUGUGCAGCCA